GACGAACGCUGGCGGCGUGCUUAAUACAUGCAAGUCGAACGGAAAGGCGCUGCUCUUGCGUGUUGCAUGAGUGGCGAACGGGUGAGUGACACAUGAGUAUCCUGCCCUUGACUUUGGGAUAAAUUUUCGAAACUGCGGCUCAUACCGGAUAGAAGCUCCUGAUGCAUGGUGGGGGUUGGAAAGAUUCGGUGGUUCGGGAUGGACUCGCGGUUUACCAGCUUCUUGGUGUGGUAGUGGAUUACCAAGGCUUUGACGGGUAGUCCGCCUGGGAGGGUGGCCGGCGACAAUGGGACUGAGAUACGGCCCAGACGCCUACGGGAGGCAGCAGUGGAGAAUAUUGCAGAGCAGGGGGACGCCAGAUACAGCAACGCCGCGUGCGGGAAGACGGCCUUCGAGGGGUAAACCGAUUUCGAAUGUAACGAAGAGUGAGUGACGGUAAUGGGUAAAAAAGCACCGGCUAACUACGUG
rnacentral:rRNA from 1 species